rnacentral:rRNA from 1 species
AAGGCUGAGGUGUGAUGACGAGGCACUACGGUGCUGAAGUGAUAAAUGCCCUGCUUCCAGGAAAAGCCUCUAAGCAUCAGGUAACACGAAAUCGUACCCCAAACCGACACAGGUGGUCAGGUAGAGAAUACCAAGGCGCUUGAGAGAACUCGGGUGAAGGAACUAGGCAAAAUGGUGCCGUAACUUCGGGAGAAGGCACGCUGGUGUGUAGA